AUACUUACCUGGCAAGGGAGAUACCGUGAUCAAGAAAGGCGGUUCACCCAGGGCGAGGCUUAGCCAUUGCACGCCAGCUAUGCUGACACCCUGUGAAUUUCCCAAAUGUGGAAAUCUCGAUUGCAUAAUUUAUGGUAGUGGGGGACUGCGUCCGCGCUCUCCCCUG